rnacentral:rRNA from 1 species
GUAAUCACUUGUCUUCUAAAUAAAGACCAGUAUGAAUGGCUAAAUGAGGACAAACCUGUCUCCUGCACCCAAUCAGUGAAACUGAUCUUCCAGUACAAAAGCCGGAAUAACCCCAUAAGACGAGAAGACCCUGUGGAGCUUAAAAUUUAUAACUACCGAAUUAAAUUAGUACAAAUUUUAAGUUGGGGCGACUUCGGAAUCAAGCAGCACUUCCGAGCAAGGAGCUACCCCCUCCUACAAGGCCUACAAGCCUAUACAGCCGACCCAGUCACACUGACCAACGAACCAAGUUACCCCAGGGAUAACAGCGCAAUCCCCCUCAAGAGUCCAUAUCGACAGGGGGGUUUACGACCUCGAUGUUGGAUCAGGACACCCCAAUGGUGCAGCCGCUAUUAAAGGUUCGUUUGUUCAACGAUUAACAGU